ACUCCCCUUCCUUUCCUUUUUCCCUCCCAAGCUUCGGAACAUGUGGUUUAAUUCGAUGAUACGCGAGGAACCUUACCCGGGCUUGAAAUGCAGAUGAUCGAAGUGGAGACACUUUUUCCAGCGAUGGCGUCUGUGUAGGUGCUGCAUGGUUGUCGUCAGCUCGUGCCGUGAGGUGUCGGCUUAAGUGCCAUAACGAGCGCAACCCUCAUUACUAGUUACCAUCAGGUCUAGCUGGGGACUCUAGUGAGACUGCCGGCGUAAGCUGUGAGGAAGGUGGGGAUGACGUCAAAUCAGCACGGCCCUUAUGUCCGGGGCGACACACGUGUUACAAUGGGGAGUACAGCGGGAAGCUACCUGGCGACAGGAUGCCAAUCUUUUAAAACUCUUCUCAGUUCGGAUCGGAGUCUGCAACUCGACUUCGUGAAGCUGGAUUCGCUAGUAAUCGCGCAUCAGCCACGGCGCGGUGAAUACGUUCCCGGGCCUUGUACACACCGCCCGU
rnacentral:rRNA from 1 species